rnacentral:rRNA from 1 species
GACGAACGCUGGCGGCGUGCUUAACACAUGCAAGUCGAACGGAAAGGCCCUGAUUUUGUGGGGUGCUCGAGUGGCGAACGGGGGAGUAACACGUGAGUAACCUGCCCUUGACUUUGGGAUAACUUCAGGAAACAGGGGCUAAUAUCGGAUAGGAGCUCCUGCUGCAUGGUGGGCGUUGGAAAGUGUCGGCGGUUGGGGCUGGACUCGCGGCUUAUGCGCUUGUUGGUGGGGUAGGCGAUUACCAAGGCUUUGACGGAUAGCCGGCCUGGGAGGGUGGCCGGCGUCAUGAGUACUACGAGACGCCGCAGUCGCCAACGGGAGGCAGCAGUCGGAAGUAUUACACAGUGGGCGGAAGCCUGAUGCAACAACGCCGCGUGCGUAAUGACGGCCUUCGGGUUGUAAACCGCUUUCGCCUGAGACGAAGCGUGAGUGACGGUAAUGAGUAAAGAAGCACCGGCUAACUACGUG